rnacentral:lncRNA from 1 species
CGUUCUUGUUUUAUCUUUCAGCCCAAGAACUUGCCAGUCAAGAUGAAAAACUUCUUCUAAUGGAAUCCAGCUUGAAAGCUACUCAAGAGCAGCUAACUGAGCAAAUAGCAGAAACAGUUCGCCAAGAACAGAACAGUAGAAAAGCCCAGGCAGAGCUGAAGACAGUGACGGAAGGGAUUAUAGCUUCUGAAGAAGAAAAAAAUGAUUACAAAUAUCGCUGGAAAUUCAGUAGGAAAAGGUCUUUGCUUGAGGGAAAAAGAAUGCAUUCUAUUGAAUAAAAACUGUUACAAAACAUCUGUGUCCCAGGCUCCCUUCCAAGGUAGGACACACGGUGGAGUGCUACUGAUGCUGCCACUUUUGUCCUACUUCUUUCCCAGGGAAUCUUUUAUUAUAUCAUCUGUUACAACUUCAUUGCAAGAGGGACGCCUAACCACCAAAGCUUUACCUCAUCCACACAAUAAUACAAUCGUUGGAAAAUAUAACAGCUAAUUCGGAUUCCUGAAAUUAAAUAUAGUGGUGGCCUUGCUUGUGGAAGGAUACUUAAUGGUUGGUGAUUUUAAUUUUAAAAAUAACGAAGGACUUUCUAAUAGUCGUAAAUGUCUUUCCAUCAAAGAGGUGACAAAUUCCCUAUUACUGGGACUUCAGUCUUAAUAAG